rnacentral:tRNA from 1 species
GCCCUCGUAGCUCAACGGAUAGAGCAAAUUCGUCCUAAGAAUGAGAUGGGGGUUCGAUUCCCUCCGAGGGCA